AAUAGGUUAUUAACCCACAUGUUAUAUUAUAUAUACACGUUUCGGCGUGUCGCCAUCAUGUGUUUUUGGAGGUGAUAUACGACAAAUGUUACCAAAAUAUAUAUUUAACAGGCAUGGAUUUAUACUUGCAAAGUAUAAUUGAUGACUUGCAGCCCCUCUUACUGUUUGUUUAGGUGAACAAACCUGUAUUACUCUGACAUUUCAGUGGUGUCUUCGAUUUAAUAGUAGUAGAUAUGUGUAAUUUGUAAGUAAAAUCAUUUCACAUGCAUCAAGAUGGGUUGUUUUGAAAGUUACCAGAAACAUUUAAUUUUUUUAUGACAUACCAUUCUGUUUACCUUAACUAGGUAUUCUAUUAUCAAACAGCCUUAAAUAUGUUUAUAUAUUUUUAAAAUAUUAAUAUUUAAUAACUGACAUUCCUUGCAAAUGUGGAUAUAGAUUUCUGUUAACAUAUGUCCUAGUAUAUGUUCUUUAAUAAAACAAGGUCUGAUAAUGGCAUAAAGUGCUAAAAUAUGUUGGAAUGUCAUAUUGUGUAUUUAAAAAUAAAGUGUAUAUGACAGAUACUAGAA